rnacentral:rRNA from 1 species
UGGGGAAUAUUGCACAAUGGGCGCAAGCCUGAUGCAGCCAUGCCGCGUGUAUGAAGAAGGCCUUCGGGUUGUAAAGCACUUUCAGCGGGGAGGAAGGCGGUGAGGUUAAUAACCUCAUCGAUUGACGUUACCCGCAGAAGAAGCACCGGCUAACUCCGUGCCAGCAGCCGCGGUAAUACGGAGGGUGCAAGCGUUAAUCGGAAUUACUGGGCGUAAAGCGCACGCAGGCGGUCUGUCAAGUCGGAUGUGAAAUCCCCGGGCUCAACCUGGGAACUGCAUUCGAAACUGGCAGGCUAGAGUCUUGUAGAGGGGGGUAGAAUUCCAGGUGUAGCGGUGAAAUGCGUAGAGAUGUGGAGGAAUACCGGUGGCGAAGGCGGCCCCCUGGACAAAGACUGACGCUCAGGUGCGAAAGCGUGGGGAGCAAACAGG